rnacentral:rRNA from 1 species
CUACGGGAGGCAGCAGUGAGGAAUUUUCCGCAAUGGGCGAAAGCCUGACGGAGCGACGCCGCGUGAAGGAUGAAGGAUUUCGGUCUGUAAACUUCUUUUCUCGCAGAAGAUUAUGACUGUAUGCGAGGAAUAAGCACCGGCUAACUACGUGCCAGCAGCCGCGGUAAUACGUAGGGUGCGAGCGUUAUCCGGAAUUACUGGGCGUAAAGAGUGCGUAGGCGGAUUUUUAAGUCGAAUGUUAAAUCUACAGGCUCAACUUGUAGGCCGCAUUCGAUACUGAGAGUCUUGAGAGUGGAAGAGGCAAGCGGAAUUUCCGGUGGAGCGGUAAAAUGCGUAGAUAUCGGAAAGAACACCAAUGGCGAAGGCAGCUUGCUGGGCCACUUCUGACGCUAAGGCACGAAAGCGUGGGGAGCGAUCGGGAUUAGAUACCCGCGUAGUCCC